ensembl:lncRNA
GAUGUACUGAUUAAUAAUGGAGAUUCCUGGUUUGCAUGUAGGGAAAAAGAAGAACAUGUAAGGAACCCAAAAAAUCAAAGCAAGAAUAUCCAAAGACACAAUUUUCCUUUUUCAAAAAUUUGCCUAAGGUUUGUUUUGCAGGGAAAUGGACACCAUCUAGUUAAAGCUCUAUAAGCUUGAAGAUUCAGCAUACGUGCUAGCAAAGCAAGCGCCGAGACUAAAUUUUGAAGACUGAGCUGGAAAGACGAGCUUAUCUUCCGUUAUGAUUUUGUCAUGGCACCCACCACCGACCUCUUGGCGCUUCCGCAAGUUAGGAGUCUUCCCAGCUCAGCGUGCACACAAGUCACCCGGCAGGCCGCAGCCCUCCUCCGGCCCAAGGUUCACCGGAGCGGGUGUGCAGCGGGGCCGGGGUCUGCCUUCCCGGGCAUGCGGCAGUCUGCGGUGUGAGACUUCCUCCAGGACUGGCCCCAGCUCCGUACUCUCCUCACUCUAAAACCUCUCCUGAGGCGUCUUCAUUGUGACCACACUGAGGACUCUCAGGUUGUCAUUUCUAGCCCUGGUCGCUCUCUCGAGCUCCAGGAAGACAGCCGUCUGCUCGACAUCUCCACUGCGUGUCUCCAAGGCACAUCCAGCUGGCCCUCUUCCAGGUUUUCCUCUGUUGGAAAAUGACGCCACCCCUCACCCAGUUCUGUGACCCGGGAACUUGGUCC